GAAGGAAGUGGUAAGCUGCGUAAAGCUGCGGGGAUGGGCACACACGAAUUGAUCCGCAGAUGUCCGAAUGGGGCAACCCGGCAUGUUGAAGACUUGUCACUCUAAUUUAUUGGAGAGCAAACCCGGAGAACUGAAACAUCUAAGUACCCGGAGGAAAAGAAAUCGAAGAGAUUCCGUAAGUAGUGGCGAGCGAAAGCGGAUUAGCCCAAAAGCUCAUAUAUGUUUAAUAGAAUGUUCUGGAAAGAACAGCCGUAGAGGGUGAUAGCCCCGUAUAUGAAAGGCAUAUUUAAGUGAUAAAUGAGUAGGGCGGGACACGUGAAAUCCUGUCUGAAUAUGGGGGGACCAUCCUCCAAGGCUAAAUACUCCUGAAAGACCGAUAGUGAACAAGUACUGUGAAGGAAAGGUGAAAAGCACUUCGAAUAGAAGGGUGAAAGAGAACCUGAAACCGUACGCCUACAAGCG
rnacentral:rRNA from 1 species